GACGAACGCUGGCGGCGUGCUUAACACAUGCAAGUCGAACGGAAAGGCCCUGCUUGCAGGGUCCUCGAGUGGCGAACGGGUGAGUAACACGUGGGUGAUCUGCCCUGCACUUCGGGAUAAGCCUGGGAAACUGGGUCUAAUACCGGAUAUGACCUUCCAUGUAGUGUGGGGGGUGGAAAGUUUUAUCGGUGUGGGAUUAGCCCGCGGCCUAUCAGCUUGUUGGUGGGGUAAUGGCCUACCAAGGCGUCGACGGGUAGCCGGCCUGAGAGGGUGGACGGCCACAUUGGGACUGAGAUACGGCCCAGACUCCUACGGGAGGCAGCAGUGGGGAAUAUUGCACAAUGGGCGGAAGCCUGAUGCAGCGACGCCGCGUGGGGGAUGACGGCCUUCGGGUUGUAAACCUCUUUCGACAGGGACGAAGCUUCGGUGACGGUACCUGUAUAAGAAGCACCGGCUAACUACGUG
rnacentral:rRNA from 1 species